rnacentral:rRNA from 1 species
UACGUAGGGGGCAAGCGUUGUCCGGAUUUAUUGGGCGUAAAGAGCGUGUAGGCGGCCAGGUAGGUCUGCUGUGAAAACUCGAGGCUCAACCUCGAGACGUCGGCGGAAACCAUCUGGCUAGAGUCCGGAAGAGGAGAGUGGAAUUCCUGGUGUAGCGGUGAAAUGCGUAGAUAUCUGGAGGAACACCGGUGGCGAAGGCGACAUCCUGGACCGGUAUUGACGCUGAGGCGCGAAAGCCAGGGGAGCAAACGGG